rnacentral:rRNA from 1 species
UACGUAGGGUCCGAGCGUUAUCCGGAGUUACUGGGCGUAAAGGGCGUGUAGGCGGUUUGUUAAGUCUGGCGUGAAAGCUCUCGGCUAAACCGGGAGAGGUCGUUGGAUACUGGCAAACUAGAGGAUGGUAGAGGCGUGUGGAAUUCCGGGUGUAGUGGUGAAAUGCGCAGAUAUCAGGAGGAACACCAGGUAGCGAAGGCGGCACUCUGGGCCGGUACUGACGCUGAGGAGCGAAAGCGUGGGGAGCGAACAGG